UACGGAGGAUGCGAGCGUUAUCCGGAUUUAUUGGGUUUAAAGGGAGCGUAGGUGGGAUAUUAAGUCAGCUGUGAAAGUUUGGGGCUCAACCUUAAAAUUGCAGUUGAUACUGGUUUCCUUGAGUACGGUAUAGGUGGGCGGAAUUCGUGGUGUAGCGGUGAAAUGCUUAGAUAUCACGAAGAACUCCGAUCGCGAAGGCAGCUCACCGGGCCGGAACUGACACUGAUGCUCGAAAGUGCGGGUAUCAAACAGGAUUAGAUACCCUGGUAGUCCGCACAGUAAACGAUGAAUACUCGCUGUUUGCGAUACACUGUAAGCGGCCAAGCGAAAGCGUUAAGUAUUCCACCUGGGGAGUACGCCGGCAACGGUGAAACUCAAAGGAAUUGACGGGG
rnacentral:rRNA from 1 species